AACAGCAAGAGUCUGGGGGUGGACUUUCUGUUUGCACUUUUCUAAUUGCAAUGAAUGCACUCUUAUAGAAAUGUCGUGACAGUUGGUUUCUAACUGGACCCAGGAGCGAAGAUCAAACUACUGGCAGUUGAAAAAAAGCUUUAUUCCGCAUUAGGUCAAAGAAGCAGGAAGCCGGGAGGUGGCCUUUACUGCUAGAGAACUCUGAAUUGGGCCCACUCAUUGCUUUGUCUCUGGGAAGAAUGGAAAACAGGAUAUGGCCACUGAGAGCUCAGAAGCUACUACAGGACACUAAAGGCUGUUAACCCAAAGGAACCUGUGGCAACAUCAGUGUCGCAA
rnacentral:lncRNA from 1 species